rnacentral:rRNA from 1 species
GCGCGAAAACUUUACAAUGCUGGCAACAGCGAUAAGGGAACCUCGAGUGCCAGGUUACAAAUCCGGCUGUCGAGAUGCCUAAAAAGCAUUUCAUAGCAAGGGCCGGGCAAGACCGGUGCCAGCCGCCGCGGUAACACCGGCGGCUCGAGUGGUAAUCGUUAUUAUUGGGUCUAAAGGGUCUGUAGCCGGCCGGAUAAGUCUCUUGAGAAAUCUGGCAGCUUAACAGUCAGGCUUUCAGGAGAUACUGUCUGGCUCGAGGCCGGGAGAGGUGAGAGGUACUUCAGGGGUAGGGGUGAAAUCGUGUAAUCCUUGAAGGACCACCAGUGGCGAAGGCGUCUCACCAGAACGAACCUGACGGCAAGGGACGAAAGCUAGGGGCACGAACCG